AUAAUGGGUCAGCGACUUAUAUUCUGUAGCAAGGUUAACCGAAUAGGGGAGCCGAAGGGAAACCGAGUCUUAACUGGGCGUUAAGUUGCAGGGUAUAGACCCGAAACCCGGUGAUCUAGCCAUGGGCAGGUUGAAGGUUGGGUAACACUAACUGGAGGACCGAACCGACUAAUGUUGAAAAAUUAGCGGAUGACUUGUGGCUGGGGGUGAAAGGCCAAUCAAACCGGGAGAUAGCUGGUUCUCCCCGAAAGCUAUUUAGGUAGCGCCUCGUGAAUUCAUCUCCGGGGGUAGAGCACUGUUUCGGCAAGGGGGUCAUCCCGACUUACCAACCCGAUGCAAACUGCGAAUACCGGAGAAUGUUAUCACGGGAGACACACGGCGGGUGCUAACGUCCGUCGUGAAGAGGGAAACAACCCAGACCGCCAGCUAAGGUCCCAAAGUCAUGGUUAAGUGGGAAACGAUGUGGGAAGGCCCAGACAGCCAGGAUGUUGGCUUAGAAGCAGCCAUCAUUUAAAGAAAGCGUAAUAGCUCACUGGUCGAGUCGGCCUGCGCGGAAGAUGUAACGGGGCUAAACCAUGCACCGAAGCUGCGGCAGCGACGCUGAUGCGUUGUUGGGUAGGGGAGCGUUCUGUAAGCCUGUGAAGGUGUGCUGUGAGGCAUGCUGGAGGUAUCAGAAGUGCGAAUGCUGACAUAAGUAACGAUAAAGCGGGUGAAAAGCCCGCUCGCCGGAAGACCAAGGGUUCCUGUCCAACGUUAAUCGGGGCAGGGUGAGUCGACCCCUAAGGCGAGGCCGAAAGGCGUAGUCGAUGGGAAACAGGUUAAUAUUCCUGUACUUGG
rnacentral:rRNA from 1 species